GACCUGGAUACAAAUGCAGUCCAACCAAUGGGAUUGUUUGUCCCGCCUUGUGUUUUCAUGUUUGGUUGCGCUGCUAAGGCUGCUUAGACCACACGCGCCAUAGCUGUACCUGUGGGGAAAACGUGGUAGCUGUUGGUAUCUGCUUGCUUAGCCGCCAGAUUUGGAUAGCCGAAGCUAAUUUUAUGAAUACGAAGUGCUUUGCACUGGUCAGGUUUUUUGAGUUGGAGAAAGGAGCCGAGACUCCCCGGAGAACUUUGGAUUACAGACUUGGUGGAAAUCCGCAGAAGAGGAAUAAUUUUCCAUUGCAAUGGAUGGCGAGCCACAGCCCAUUUGGAAUUGAAUCUUGAAGUCUGGUUGCCUGAACUGUGGUAGGACAAGACUGUGCAAACCAUACACCGAUCGUGGAUUGAACUCACACCAAUAACUCACCAGAUCACCAAACAGGCCUGAUCUGGAUCCUAUUGACACUUUAAAAGACCCGGGUCUAACAUUCGUUUCUUUUUUAUUUUGGGUAUCUGUGUAACGGAGUUAAAAAGACAUCUGAAAAACAUGCACUUACCUGGUCUUAAUUAUUAUUUUAAGUGUGAAUUUUAUCAUUUUUUUUGUUGUAUUUUAUUUUGAAAACCCAGAAACCGGAUCUCACUCUAGCGUUUAGAAGCUGCUAAGGCUUCCGCUCCUCACAGCGCGCGUUUCCACUGUGAGGGUAAGUUCUGUAAUGAAAGGCUCUGGCAUUUUUAUGGUUUCUGGUGUGAAUGUUGAUACAUAAGUUGUACAUGUCCAUGUAUAUAUGUUUAUAUUGAUGUUAGGAUGUUACUGUGUAACCGAAACAAAGGAUGGUUGCUGUUAAACAGUGUUUAUUGUAUUUAUGCUCUUUGGCAGUAAGCUUUUGUUAGCCCUCUAGUGGUUGCUGCGCAUAGCAGUAAAUGUGUUUGCAUUUACUGUUUUUCUGUGCUUUUUGUAAUGUUGUUUUACAUUAUAGGAGCUGCAAUUGUGGUACCAUCAGAAGACACCUGUUGAAUGUGUUUUAUGUCUUCUGCAGAGGGAGUGUUCGCCCAGGGCACCAAACAGGCUUGAGCUAAACUGGGCCGUGUACCACAUAAAAUCGUUUCGAGGUC
ensembl:lncRNA